rnacentral:tRNA from 1 species
GCCUUCGUGGUGGAACGGUAGACACGCUAUCUUGAGGGGGUAGUGCCCGUACGGGCGUGAGGGUUCGAAUCCCUCCGAAGGCA